GGCGGCACCGGCUCCGGCUUCACCCGCAUCCCCGUGGUGCCUGCAUCCUGCCAGCAGAGCCCGGCCCCCAGCCCCGCGCCCCCUGCGCCGGCCCCCCCCAUGUACUGUAACACCCCCCACGCCGCGCCCGUCACCGCCGGGAUGUUCCGGUCGCACGGGGCCAGCACGCAGACGGUGAACAGCAGCGUGGUCUCCUCCUGCUCAGAGGUGAGGUUUCCUGGUGCCUUUGGGGUAGGGGAGCUCAGCUCUGCAGCCUGGCACUGCUGUGGAGGGGCCCUUCCCUGCCUCAGUUUCCCCAUGCAUGGAAUAAAGGGCUGCAAAAUGCUCCAGUUUGGGGGUUGGGGACAGGGUAGGAUCCAGGCUCUUCUGCUCAUCUUCAGAUGCUGCCUCUCACUGUUCUCUGCUCCUGCUUCCCUUUUCCCCUUGCACAGCACAGCUGGCACAGGGGGGUGACUGCCAGGACCCCCGUGGGUGGGAUUGCAAUGCAUGGAGGGGUGGGAUAACCGUAGUUCUGUGUGCCCCAGUAAUAUUGGGGCUUGUGGUGCCUGCUGACCUGCUCCUUGCCCGCUGCAGGGCUCACUUGGCCAUUUGGGGGUGUGGGGCUGUGCGGUCCCAUCCCGUGCCCAGAGGCUGAGCCGGUGUCUCCCAUCCGUGCAGGUGGAGUGCGGCACCCGCAGCAGCAGCUCCCCCAGCAGCAGCCCUGCGCCCGCAGCCCGAUCCCGCAAACCCGGUGCCGUCAUCGAGAGCUUCGUCAACCACGCGCCUGGGGUCUUCUCAGGGACCUUCUCCGGCACUUUGCACCCCAACUGCCAGGACAGCAGCGGGCGGCCACGGAGGGACAUCGGCACCAUCCUGCAGAUCCUGAACGACCUCCUCAGCGCCACGCGACACUACCAGGGCAUGCCCCAGUCCCUGACGCAGCUCCGCUGCCAGACGCAGUUCUCCUCCUCAUCCUCCUCCUCGCCACCAGCCUCCCCGGACCUCGCCACCAAAACUACCUCAGAGCCGCUGCCGGCGGCUGCAGCAUCCCCACCCCUGCACCCCGUCGUCCAGUGCCAAAGCCAGAUCCGGAUGUGCAAGCCCAGCGGGGACCGCUUGCGGCAGACGGAGAACCGGGCGACGCGCUGCAAGGUGGAGCGGCUGCAGCUGCUGAUGCAGCAGAAGCGGCUGCGCAGGAAGGCGCGGAGGGACGCGCGGGCUCCCUACCACUGGCUGCCCAACCGCAAGUCCAGCCGCACCAACAGCAACAGCAGCGUCUCCAGCGAGGGCAGCCUGGACCUGGACUUCGAGGACUCGGUGUGGAAGCCGGAGGUCAAGGCAGACAUGAAAUCAGAGUUUGUCGUAGCAUAGAGCCGUACCCGGGGCCGCGGACUCUGCCGGGGCAGGGAUGGGGGGGGGGGGGAUGCUCCCGCUGCCCCGGCCGCCGGUGGUCUCAUUUCUGUUGUCAUGGGCCAGAUCUCCUCUAGAUUUGCCAUCUCCUGCGACCAGAUGCCUCGGGCCCGACCCU
rnacentral:lncRNA from 14 species